GUGGAAUUCGGCUUAGAGUUUGAUCCUGGCUCAGAUUGAACGCUGGCGGCAGGCUUAACACAUGCAAGUCGAGCGGUAACAGAUCCAGCUUGCUGGAUGCUGACGAGCGGCGGACGGGUGAGUAAUGCAUAGGAAACUGCCCAAUAGUGGGGGAUAGCCCGGGGAAACCCGGAUUAAUACCGCAUACGUCCUACGGGAGAAAGCAGGGGCUCUUCGGACCUUGCGCUAUUGGAUGUGCCUAUGUCGGAUUAGCUAGUUGGUGGGGUAAAGGCCUACCAAGGCGACGAUCCGUAGCUGGUCUGAGAGGAUGAUCAGCCACAUCGGGACUGAGACACGGCCCGAACUCCUACGGGAGGCAGCAGUGGGGAAUAUUGGACAAUGGGGGCAACCCUGAUCCAGCCAUGCCGCGUGUGUGAAGAAGGCUUUCGGGUUGUAAAGCACUUUCAGUGAGGAGGAAAACCCUAGGUUAAUACCCAUGAGGCUUGACGUUACUCACAGAAGAAGCACCGGCU
rnacentral:rRNA from 1 species